UACGGAGGGUGCAAGCGUUAAUCGGAAUUACUGGGCGUAAAGCGUGCGUAGGUGGUUCAUUAAGUUAUCUGUAAAAUCCCCGGGCUCAACCUGGGAAGGCCAGAUAAGACUGAUGGACUCGAGUAGUGGAGAGGGUAGUGGAAUUUCCGGUGUAGCGGUGAAAUGCGUAGAGAUCGGAAGGAACACCAGUGGCGAAGGCGGCUACCUGGCCUAAUACUGACACUGAGGCACGAAAGCGUGGGGAGCAAACAGG
rnacentral:rRNA from 1 species